CCUACGGGUGGCAGCAGUGAGGAAUAUUGGUCAAUGGACGAGAGUCUGAACCCGCCAAGUUGCGUGAAGGAUGACUGCCCUAUGGGUUGUAAACUUCUUUUAUAUGGGAAUAAAAUGUUCCACGUGUGGGAUUUUGUAUGUACCAUAUGAAUAAGGAUCGGCUAACUCCGUGCCAGCAGCCGCGGUAAUACGGAGGAUCCGAGCGUUAUCCGGAUUUAUUGGGUUUAAAGGGAGCGUAGGUGGAUUGUUAAGUCAGUUGUGAAAGUUUGCGGCUCAACCGUAAAAUUGCAGUUGAAACUGGCAGUCUUGAGUACAGUAGAGGUGGGCGGAAUUCGUGGUGUAGCGGUGAAAUGCUUAGAUAUCACGAAGAACUCCGAUUGCGAAGGCAGUUCACUGGACUGCAACUGACACUGAGGCUCGAAAGUGUGGGUAUCAAACAGGAUUAGAUACCCGGGUAGUC
rnacentral:rRNA from 1 species